AGAGUUGAUCCUGGCUUAGGACGAACGCUGGCGGCGUGCCUAACACAUGCAAGUCGAGCGGAGAUUCGGGGGAGCUUGCUCCACUGGGAUUCAGCGGCGGACGGGUGAGUAACGCGUGAGCAACCUGCCUUCAACAGGGGGAUAACGCAUCGAAAGAUGUGCUAAUACCGCAUGAGACCACAACAUCACAUGGUGAAGGGGUCAAAGGAGCAAUCCGGUUGAAGAUGGGCUCGCGUCCGAUUAGCUGGUUGGUGAGACAACAGCCCACCAAGGCGACGAUCGGUAGCCGACCUGAGAGGGUGAUCGGCCACAUUGGAACUGAGAUACGGUCCAGACUCCUACGGGAGGCAGCAGUGGGGAAUAUUGGGCAAUGGGCGAAAAAGCCUGACCCAGCAACGCCGCGUGAGGGAAGAAGGGUUUCGGCUCGUAAACCUCUGUCCUGUGGGACGAAGGAAGUGACGGUACCACAGGAGGAAGCCCCGGCUAACUACGUGCCAGCCGCGGC
rnacentral:rRNA from 1 species